rnacentral:lncRNA from 1 species
GACUAUACGUGUAGAGAGUAAAGACUGCUAGUCUGUAGUCGUCGAGUCGAGCACUUCACUUAUUCAGAUCAGAUUUGAGUUCAUUUUUUGCCCUAGCCGUCGCCGAGUAGCCGUCGGUCGUCUCCCGUCGCUCACAGUCACAGAUCUGAGAUACUCCUCACUCCUCAGCUUCUUCUUGUUUCUCUGCUCCGGAUCUCUUCACACCUUUUGCUGCUUUGCAGUUCGACGACUCCGGCUCAACUGUUUAGCAAUCGUGAUGACCAGCAUUUCAGUAUACCAAAAGUACCCAUAUCGUAUUAAGAAGAAGGAAACCUGAACUUCGAUUCCCAUUGUAGGAGACGGACUACAUUUGGCCCCGCUAAUACAGUUAUCACUGUUCAACUUCAUACCGACUCUUUGUAGAUGGGUCAAAGUUACUGGAUUUCAAUUAGAAGUAUACUCGCACCUGCUAAUUUAGGAAAUCAAGAAGGCAUUCUCCUCUUUCUUUCAUCAGUUCCAAUCAGGUUUCAAUUGUAUAUUUAUUUAGUUCAUGAUUUCUUAGUUCAGUAUAAAAGCAUGUAUGAUGAACAGAAGUGUACCUUACAACCUGAGGUCCUGAGCAACAGCAUGUCAGCAACACUGUUUUAAUCAGUGUAGAGUGUUGACCUUGUAGUUUACAAGUGUGUUUGGUUGUGAAAAUAUUGAAUAUAUUCGUACUUUAGAUUUCAGAAGUAUAUCUGCAGGCACAAAUGUAUGUAUUUGAUGCAAUCUGGUCUUCACAGAUCUCUUCACACCUUUUACUGAAUUGUAAUUUGUUAAACAGUUGCCAGUUAAUUUGUUAAACAGUUGCUGUAAGUUAACAGUUGCCAGAUAUUUUGGUUUUUACCAGAAUACCCGAAAUUACAAUUCGGUAUUCCGUAAUUCGGUUAUUUUUAAAUUUCGGAUAAUAAAAGUACCAC